UCAAUAAGCGGAGGAAAAGAAACUAACAAGGAUUCCCCUAGUAACUGCGAGUGAAGCGGGAAAAGCUCAAAUUUAAAAUCUGAUAGUCUUUGGCUGUCCGAGUUGUAAUCUAGAGAAGUGUUAUCCGCGUUGGACCGUGUACAAGUCUCCUGGAAUGGAGCAUCAUAGAGGGUGAGAAUCCCGUCUUUGACACGGACUACCAGUGCUUUGUGAUGCGCUCUCAAAGAGUCGAGUUGUUUGGGAAUGCAGCUCAAAAUGGGUGGUAAAUUCCAUCUAAAGCUAAAUAUUGGCGAGAGACCGAUAGCGAACAAGUACCGUGAGGGAAAGAUGAAAAGAACUUUGGAAAGAGAGUUAAACAGUACGUGAAAUUGCUGAAAGGGAAACGCUUGAAGUCAGUCACGUUGGCUGGAAAUCAACCUUGCUUCUGCUUGGCGUACUUUCUGGUUAACGGGUCAGCAUCAAUUUUGACCAUUGGAAAAAAUUCAGAGGAAAGUGGCAUCUUCGGAUGUGUUAUAGCCUCUGUUUGCAUACAAUGGUUGGGAUUGAGGAUCUCAGCACGCCGAAAGGCCGGGUUUCGACCACGUUCGUGCUUAGGAUGCUGGCAUAAUGGCUUUAAUCGACCCGUCUUGAAACACGGACCAAGGAGUCUAACAUGCCUGCGAGUGUUUGGGUGGUAAACUCAAGCGCGCAAUGAAAGUGAAAGUUGAGAUCCCUGUCGUGGGGAGCAUCGACGCCCGGACCAGACCUUUUGUGACGGAUCCGCGGUAGAGCAUGUAUGUUGGGACCCGAAAGAUGGUGAACUAUGCCUGAAUAGGGUGAAGCCAGAGGAAACUCUGGUGGAGGCUCGUAGCGAUUCUGACGUGCAAAUCGAUCGUCAAAUUUGGGUAUAGGGGCGAAAG
rnacentral:rRNA from 1 species